rnacentral:rRNA from 1 species
AUUGAACGCUGGCGGCAGGCCUAACACAUGCAAGUCGAACGAGUGGCGGACGGGUGAGUAAUGUCUGGGGAAAUGCCUGAUGGAGGGGGAUAACUACUGGAAACGGUCGCUAAUACCGCAUACUAUCGGAUGUGCCCAGAUGGGAUUAGCUAGUAGGUGGGGUAAAGGCUCACCUAGGCGACGAUCCCUAGCUGGUCUGAGAGGAUGACCAGCCACACUGUGACUGAGACACGGUCCAGACUCCUACGGGAGGCAGCGGUGGGGAAUAUUGCACAAUGGGCGCAAGCCUGAUGCAGCCAUGCCGCGUGUAUGAAGAAGGCCUUAGGGUUGUAAAGUACUUUCAGCUGGGAGGCGUUACCCGCAGAAGAAGCACCGGCUAACUCCGUGCCAGCAGCCGCGGUAAUUC